rnacentral:rRNA from 1 species
CAUGCUCCCGGCCGCCAUGGCGGCCGCGGGAAUUCGAUUAGAGUUUGAUCAUGGCUCAGAUUGAGCGCUGGGGGCAUGCCUUACACAUGCAAGUCGAACGGUAACAGGUCUUCGGAUGCUGACGAGUGGCGAACGGGUGAGUAAUGCAUCGGAACGUGCCCAGUAGUGGGGGAUAGCCCGGCGAAAGCCGGAUUAAUACCGCAUACGACCUGAGGGUGAAAGGGGGGGAUCGCAAGACCUCUCGCUAUUGGAGCGGCCGAUGUCAGAUUAGCUAGUUGGUGGGGUAAAGGCCUACCAAGGCAACGAUCUGUAGUUGGUCUGAGAGGAUGACCAGCCACACUGGGACUGAGACACGGCCCAGACUCCUACGGGAGGCAGCAGUGGGGAAUCUUGGACAAUGGGGGAAACCCUGAUCCAGCGAUGCCGCGUGUGUGAAGAAGGCCUUCGGGUUGUAAAGCACUUUAGGUGGGGAAGAAAGGUAACGAGCGAAUAACUCGUUGCUAUGACGGUACCCGCAGAAUAAGCACCGGCUAACUCUGUGCCAGCAGCCGCGGUAAUACGAAUCACUAGUGAAUUCGCGGCCGCCUGCAGGUCGACCAUAUGGGAGAGCUCCC